GGGAUUUUUUCUCUGCUCCAGUCGUUUUAGAAUUGCGAUUAAAACAUAAUUGUUUUAAUUGCCACUGGUUUAAGUAGCAAUUGGUUGCUACCCUUGCGUACCGAUAGCGUUGACCGUGUUAAGAAGCCGCCUUUGAAUUAAAAGGCCGUUCGGAACCGGCCACGCUGUAGGCAAGCGCGGCCUAGUGGCGCCAGGUCUCAUUUGACUUAGAGUUUGAUUCGAUUACUGCAUAGACUUGUUUAUAACAUGACGUUUCUUUACGUAAGGUUAGCAAUUCCCAUGGUCAUUUAUUAAAGCGCUGUUAUAUUCCUCUCCUGGUAGACAGGUCGGUAGUUUUAUCCUGACCCCUGACUUGUACAUUUGGAGUUUAUACAUCUCCUUUGUUCCCAUAGUCGCGUGGAUUUUUUUCUGGGCCCUCUGGUUUUCCCUGCCACGUUUAGGAACGUGCAUUGAUUUUGUUGGUGCUAUAAGCGCCCAAAUGAUGGGCCACUUCGCCGAGAUGGCAUGUGAUGGCCACGUGGCUUGUGAAAUAAAAGUGAAUACCUCGGUGGUAGGAUGGGGGAGGGUUUCGCUUUAUGGUGGAGGUCUAGCUGCGAUCGCCAUUACGUGCUGUUUUCCAACUAUGUUGAUUUGGCAAUAGAAUGUGUAAUUAUAUAAGUGCGCGUGGAAUAAAGUCCAAUCUCGGAUGGGGGGAAAAAAAACCCACGCGUGCAUUUUUAAUCUCGUGCUAAUUUUGCGGAAAGGACAUUUUUUUAACUUGUUAAUUCGCAUCAAUGCGGCCGUGAAUUGCAUGUUUUGAGAUCAUUAGAUGUGUCCCGAUUCAUUCGGAGUCGAUUUGCAAUCGUUUAUAGAGUUGCAACCUCUAUUACAUUGGCUAGCUAAAUCUUUUGAUGAAGCCUUAACACUGCACGCUUUUCAUUGCAUUACCAUCCAAUGUCUCCCAUAUAUGCAUUUAGUGUGCACUUAGAUUAUGGCUAUAUGCCAAGUAGCCCAAAUGCCAAUCUUGAAGGCUGCUAGCCAGAAUUCGUGUCGCUUUAUUUGCCGAUGAGCCUAGACUACAGGAGGGUAGCCACGGUCCCUUUGCAUGAAAUAUUCAUGUUAGCUCUUAGUGUUUCCAGGUAGUGGGUCAACAUGGCGAGUUUACUAUUGAAGGGAAAAGGCUAGUAGCGAGUCGAACGUUACGGGAGUGCUAGAAGGCAUUCGGGACAGGAAAUGUGCUCUAUGCAAAGCUCUGCGUCAUGCAUGCCCCUUUCCAUGUUCGCCGCAGACUUUAUCCCAGAAUUAAACGCUGCACGUUCGGCGCUGCAGAAAAUUUACGAAGAGGGACUUGAGGUUGGAGACCAUCAUUUUAAGCCCGAACGUGUCGAUCGGCAAAGUUAAAUCUGUCGUGGAGAACUGCGCUGGGAAUGGAGAGCACAACACGGAGCUGUUUAAAUAGAGGGCUAACCCGGGUGAUGGACGCCACUAUGAGACGAACAGAGACUCCUUGGCUCCAGGCUGCACGGCAACCUCGCGAACUUCACGUUGCGCCUGGCGAAUGAAGGUCCCUUCGAUUUGUCGAACAGAAGAGCCCCCACUGCUGAUGGCCAUGGUUGCUGCCUUGCCUCCCUUCAUGAGGUGCCAUGCUCGUGCUGUCCCCUACCUAACGGAGGAGUUGAGAAAAUCUGAAUUGGAUGGAGUUCCUUGAAGAAUCCAUGCGCUUGCAAGCAGUUGAAGAUGGACGGAGCACUUGAAAUGAAAGGACUUCUAAUUUGAGGUGCAAAGCAAUGGAGAUGCGUGCACGGAUUCAACAAGUCCAGGAGGAGGCAUGACUGCAUUGAAACUGAAGUCUCGCUUCCUACACCCAAGUUCUUAUACAAUAAAAGCACGUGGUCAAGUUUGCUCCAGGAAGAAAAUAUGUUCGAGAUGUUGACAUCGUUUCAUUGUGUAUUGUAAAUUCCUGAUGGGUUUUCUAAAUUGUCAGUCGGUGGUAAUUAUGCAUAAACGUGUGUUUUUGCACAUUUGAAAGUAAAUAAAACUUUUACAUUUUAA